UGGAAUCAUUCGCCGCGUAAUAUGGGCUUCAAUUGGAAUCACUCGGGCAGAAAGGCUGCCACACCCCAACAGCCAUAUUGGUUGCAUGGCAAUCUGACAACAUUUUAGUAUCGUGAAUUUUUUAUACAUUGGGAGUUUAUUUGCUCAUGACCCUGGCAUGGCAUUUGCAUCAACACCCAGGUCAUCAUUCUGGCAACAAAGGUCUAUACCCAGAAAGAUCAAGGUGAUGCUUUGUCAAACCUGAUGAGUGUGAUUUGCCGACAUAUCAAUGGCACAAAACCAGAAGAAUGUAAUGGUUAGAAUAAACUGCAUCAAACAGUGCUUCGCUCUUGCUGUUAAUAAUGAAAGGUUUUGUGAGGGACAUAAAUGCCUCAGCUUCAUGGAAGGCUGAUAAUAAAUUUCUGUGCCCCUCAUUUUCUAUAUUUCAAUAUACAUUACUAUUUUUAGGAGAGUUUUACCCGAGAUUCACUUAGAGCAGCCAUGUCAAACAUGCGGCCCACGGGCCGCAUGCAGCCCCCAUAGCCACAAAGUGCGGCCCCC